UACGGAGGAUGCGAGCGUUAUCCGGAUUUAUUGGGUUUAAAGGGUGCGCAGGCGGCACGGCAAGCCGGCGGUCAAAUCGCGGGGCUCAACCCCGCCCAGCCGUCGGAACUGCCGGGCUAGAGUGGGCGAGAAGUGCGCGGAAUGCGUGGUGUAGCGGUGAAAUGCGUAGAUAUCACGCAGAACUCCGAUUGCGAAGGCAGCGCACCGGCGCCCUACUGACGCUCAGGCACGAAAGCGUGGGUAUCGAACAGG
rnacentral:rRNA from 1 species